UACGAGGGGUGCAAGCGUUGCUCGGAAUUAUUGGGCGUAAAGGGUAGGUAGGUGGUCUCGUUUGUCUGGGGUGAAAGCCUUGAGCUUAACUCAAGAAGUGCCCUAGAAACGGCGAGACUAGAGUCCUGGAGAGGGUCGUGGAAUUCCCGGGUAGUAGCGGGUGAAAUGCGUAGAGAUCGGGAGGAACACCAGAGGCGAAGGCGGCGACCUGGACAGGUACUGACACUCAACUACGAAAGCGUGGGGAGCAAACAGG
rnacentral:rRNA from 1 species